UUCGUCAAAGCUCGCCGCAAGGCGUGGCUGGACUAACGCGUCCUAUCUUCGGAUAGUGAACCUGGCUCGCAAGGGCUGGGAGCUCGCUUCCGAUCAUUUACUUUGAAAAAAUUAGAGUGUUCAAAGCAGGCGUCAAGCCAUUGAAUAUUACAGCAUGGGAUAAUAGAAUAUGACGUUGGUCUUAUUUUGUUGGUUUCUAAGGCUGAUGUAAUGAUUAAUAGGGAUAGUUGGGGUCGCUCGUAUUGAGUUGUCAGAGGUGAAAUUCUAGGAUUUACUCAAGACGAACUAAUGCGAAAGCAUUCGACAAGGAUGUUUUCAUUAAUCAAGAACGAAAGUUGGGGGAUCGAAGAUGAUCAGAUACCGUCGUAGUCUCAACCAUAAACUAUGUGGACCAAGGAUCCGAGGACGUUACAUGGAUGACUCUCCGGGCACUUUGUGAGAAAUCAUAAGUAUUUGCAUUCCGGGGGGAGUAUGGUCGCAAGGCUGAAACUUAAAGGAAUUGACGGAAGGGCGU
rnacentral:rRNA from 1 species